CGUACCCCCUCGGCUCGAUCUCCUCUUUCUCCUGCCCCCUCGCUAAAAAGAGGCUCAUUUCCCAAAAACUAAAAAAUCAUCACAGAGAGAACCCUGACAAAAUCUCCAAUGGCUAACCUCCUCCGUCCCGUGCAAAGAUCCCUUCCCCUCCUCAAUCGCCGCCUCCAGUCGCGCCCCUACUCCGCCUUCAACGACAACCUCCUUCGCAUCCUCAACAACGAGCUUGCCUAUCUCUCCGACUACCAACCCCCUCUCCAGCCCCCUCCUUAUUUCAGGUCUUUCUCCAUCGAUGACCGCCCCGGCGAGCAGUGGAUCAGGAUGAAGAGCUCGAACCCGGCGAAGAACGAGGAGAUUAAGGUCGACGCGGCGCUGUUCGAUGGAAUUGCCCCGAUCCCCGAAGCCAAGAAGGCGGUUUAUGAAGGGGAGGUGAGGUUGCACGUGAGCCUUGUGGUCGAGGUCUCGAAACGGGACGAUGAGGGUUCGGGUUCGGAUUCGGAUUCGGUUCUUGUGUUCAUUUGCUCGGCGUGGCCGGAGUCAAUUGAAGUGCAGCAGGUUUUCCCGCUGAGGAAGAGGAAUGCGAUGGUGAAGCCCUAUAUGGGGCGUAAUUUCAAAAAGCUGAGCAAGGAGGUGCAAACUGCUGUACUUGGUUAUUUAGAGGAGAGGGAGGUUGAUGAUGAACUUGCUGAGUUUCUACACCAGUACAUGGCAAACAAAGACAAGGUUGAGGUCCUUCGAUGGAUGAAGACUCUUGAGUCCUAUGUUCGGAAGUAGACAGGUUUAAUGAAACCAAAAAGCACAAUGGUGGAUGACCAAGUAUGGUGAGGGCUGUUCCGUUUUGCAUCAAGCAUCAUAUGGUCCCAUUUGAGUUCUCUACAAACGUACAACAUCAGAUCUCAUGCAUUAUGGAAUCAAAUUCCUGUUGAAUAAUGGAGUUGUUGAAGUGGAAUCCGAAGCACCUUCAUGAAUAGGACAUGAUGGAGUAUUGGACCUGAAGUCACUUUCCAAUUGCUUUUGGAGAUCAUUUGGCCUGCGGCGGCAUUUGGAUUCACUCAUGCACAUUCAUAACUCAUAAGCUGACAUGGAUGAAUACUCGUAUGAAACAAUUGGUAUACAGCUCCUGUACAUGGCAAAUGAUCUAGUCAUAACAAAGCUGGUAAUAAUUUGUAGACGACAUGAUCAAAGUCAUAACAAAGCUGCAGGUAAUAAUCUGUAGACGACCAGUACGUGUCCUAAGGCGUAUAGGCACGUGUACAAGCGAAUCGAUCUGUGAUCGACAUGUGGCAGACAUGUAGGAGACAGUAUAGCUUCACAAACUUCUUUUCUCCUUUACGACGUGCUAGCUGCUUCUCCUCUUUGAGAUAAGCUAGCAUUUGCUUUUUUUGUUUGGUCCUUUCUAUUUUCAUCACUUUAGCUUAAUUAAAUCCACUGACGCCAUGAUACCGCAACAUGAUUGGCUAUAAGUGGCUUCUAGUGCUUUUGAGACCC